rnacentral:rRNA from 1 species
GNUGACGCUGGCGGCAGGCCUACACACGCAAGUNUNAACGGAAACGACACUCAUCUGAAAUCCUUCGGGAUGCAUUUGNUUGGGCGUCGAGCGGCGGACGGGUGAGUAAUGCCUAGGAAAUUGCCUUGAUGUGGGGGAUAACCAUUGGAAACGAUGGCUAAUACCGCAUAAUGCCUACGGGCCAAAGAGGGGGAUCUUCGGACCUCUCGCGUCAAGAUAUGCCUAGGUGGGAUUAGCUAGUUGGUGAGGUAAUGGCUCACCAAGGCGACGAUCCCUAGCUGGUCUGAGAGGAUGAUCAGCCACACUGGAACUGAGACACGGUCCAGACUCCUACGGGAGGCAGCAGUGGGGAAUAUUGCACAAUGGGCGAAAGCCUGAUGCAGCCAUGCCGCGUGUAUGAAGAAGGCCUUCGGGUUGUAAAGUACUUUCAGUUGUGAGGAAGGGGGUAACGUUAAUAGCGUUAUCUCUUGACGUUAGCAACAAGAAGAAGCACCCGGCUAACUCCGUGCCAGCAAGCCGCGGUAAUACGGAGGGUGCCGGAGCGUUAAAUCGGAAAUUACUGGGCGUAAANGCCGCAUGCCAGGUGGUCCAUUUAAGUCAGAUGUUGAAAGGCCCGGGGCUCCACCUUCGGGAU